rnacentral:rRNA from 1 species
CAACUUGAGAGUUUGAUCCUGGCUCAGAGCGAACGCUGGCGGCAGGCUUAACACAUGCAAGUCGAGCGGGCGUAGCAAUACGUCAGCGGCAGACGGGUGAGUAACGCGUGGGAACGUACCUUUUGGUUCGGAACAAC